GACGAACGCUGGCGGCGUGCUUAACACAUGCAAGUCGUACGGUAAGGCCCUUUCGGGGGUACACGAGUGGCGAACGGGUGAGUAACACGUGAGUAACCUGCCCACAACUUUGGGAUAACGCUAGGAAACUGGUGCUAAUACUGGAUAUGUGCUCCUGCUGCAUGGUGGGGGUUGGAAAGCUCCGGCGGUUGUGGAUGGACUCGCGGCCUAUCAGCUUGUUGGUGGGGUAGUGGCCUACCAAGGCGGCGACGGGUAGCCGGCCUGAGAGGGUGACCGGCCACAUUGGGACUGAGAUACGGCCCAGACUCCUACGGGAGGCAGCGGUGGGGAAUAUUGCACAAUGGGCGCAAGCCUGAUGCAGCAACGCCGCGUGCGGGAUGACGGCCUUCGGGUUGUAAACCGCUUUCAGCAGGGACGAAGCUUUUUGUGACGGUACCUGCAGAAGAAGCACCGGCUAACUACGUA
rnacentral:rRNA from 1 species